rnacentral:misc_RNA from 1 species
GAAUUGCGAAAAGUAAUGUGAAUUGCAGAAUUCCGUGAAUCAUCGAAUCUUUGAACGCACAUUGCACUCCUUAGUCACUCUAAGGAGUAUGCCUGUUUGAGUAUCAGUAAAACAACUCACCCUUUGGGUGGAUGUGAGCGCUCCAGUCUUUACGGGCUGGUCGCUUUAAACUGAGUGGGGAUUGCAUGGACUGCCGUCUCUUGGUUAGCGUAGUAGUUCUCCUUGGAGAUUCCUAACGCUGUUCAGCCUUGAGCACUUUGGUCUGCAGGCCCCAAGCCAAACAACAAUACCAAGUUGCUAGGCAGUUUGCCCAGCUUCUUGAUCUUGAUCUCAAAUCAGGCAAGACUACCCGCUGAAUUUAA